rnacentral:rRNA from 1 species
CCUACGGGAGGCUGCAGUGGGGAAUAUUGCACAAUGGGCGCAAGCCUGAUGCAGCCAUGCCGCGUGUGUGAAGAAGGCCUUCGGGUUGUAAAGCACUUUCAGCGGGGAGGAAGGCGGCGAGGUUAAUAACCUCAUCGAUUGACGUUACCCGCAGAAGAAGCACCGGCUAACUCCGUGCCAGCAGCCGCGGUAAUACGGAGGGUGCAAGCGUUAAUCGGAAUUACUGGGCGUAAAGCGCACGCAGGCGGUCUGUCAAGUCGGAUGUGAAAUCCCCGGGCUCAACCUGGGAACUGCAUUCGAAACUGGCAGGCUAGAGUCUUGUAGAGGGGGGUAGAAUUCCAGGUGUAGCGGUGAAAUGCGUAGAGAUCUGGAGGAAUAUCGGUGGCGAAGGCGGCCCCCUGGACAAAGACUGACGCUCAGGUGCGAAAGCGUGGGGAGCAAACAGGAUUAGAUACCCUAGUAGUC